rnacentral:rRNA from 1 species
AGAGUUUUCUGGCUCAGGAUUAACGCUGGCGGCAUGCCUAAUACAUGCAAGUCGAAUGGUUAGCUUGCUAACCAUGGCGAACGGGUGAGUAACACGUAGGUAACCUGUCUUCAAGACGAGGAUAACCAUUGGAAACGAUGGAUAAUACUGGAUAGGACAAAUCCCCACAUGAGGAGAUGUUUAAAGGAGCAAUCCACUUGAUGAGGGGCCUGCGGUGCAUUAGCUAGUUGGUGAGGUAAAUGCCCACCAAGGCGAUGAUGCAUAGCCGGACUGAGAGGUUGAACGGCCACAAUGGAACUGAGAACGGUCCAUACUCCUACGGGAGGCAGCAGUAGGGAAUUUUCGGCAAUGGGCGGAAGCCUGACCGAGCAAUGCCGCGUGAACGAUGAAGUAUUUCGGUAUGUAAAGUUCUUUUAUUUGGGAAGAAAAAACAAAUUGACGGUACCAAAUGAAUAAGCUCCGGCUAACUACGUGCCAGCCGCCGC